UCUACUUGCAGCGACUCUAAAAAAAUCCCCUUGCAGCAGCCAUCAUACGCCGCCGCCGCCAGCCCACAACGGAGUCCCGGCCGCCGGCUCCCCGUUGCUCUUCGCCUCCUUGGAAGGUCGGAUCUUGCCACCGCCCCGAACUCGCGGUCUCUCCCCACCCCAAUAUUUCAGCUCUCCCAUAGAUCCUCUCCGAUCCGGAGUUCCACGCGUAGGGCACCAGCAUGCAGAGGCAAGGAAUGCCGCUCCUCCUCCAACCAGCCAGCCAUAGCGGCGUCGUUCCUCUGACAUGCGAAGGGGCUCUCCUCUCCCACUGGUCGGCGCCUCGACUUGGACUCCUACAGCCGGCACCUCCACUUCAGCUCACACCGGCCGGCAUCCUCCGCCGCCAAAUCUUAACCACUUCGUGUUCCUCUGGCCUUCAUGUGUAUCUCCCGUUAUAUCUCCUCUCUGUUCUGAUUUUCAGGAAGAAGGUUCAUUUUUGUGGCCCGUUUCCACUAGGUAGAUGGGAUGGCAAUGGCGGUUCCUUGGUUGAAGGAUGCAAUGCAGCUCACUAAAUUUGAAGUUGUACUAUUUUGGUCUGCCUAGAUACCCAAGCAGGGGAGAUAGGCUGCAAGUUGGGUAGAAAGCGGCAUGAUUCUCGGCAAUACUCUUUACUUGGUAUUUGAUGAUUACUCUUUACUUGGUACAACGUUCUUGAUGAUUUAAUAUAGUCUGACCCUGCUGUAGAAAGAAGCUUACAUACAUGCCUGGAUGUGUUCGAGAUGCAUUGCAGUGUGUAUUACUCUUUAGUUGGUAUAAUGUUCUAGAUGAUUUUAAUAGUCUGGCCCUGCUGUAGAAAACAGUUUACAUACAUGCCUGGAUGUGUUCGAGAUGCAUUGCAGUGUGUACUCAUAGGUGGUCGUGAAGGGCGACUAAAAGUAAUCCAUCAUCACAUCAAGUUUCUGGAAUUCUGGGGAUCGAAAUCAGAUCGAGAUGCCAAUGUCCUGUAUGUUGCUUCAGUUAUAUGGCUUGAGCUGGUCAAUCUGCAAGAUGAUGCAAAAAAUUGCUUGCAGAUAGUCUGUAUGUAUGUGUACAGACAUGCAUGUUGUAUGUUUAUAUCAAUUUUGCAAAUUGACAUUUGUUCAGAUGCUUCUAAGUAGUGGUUCAUGAAGAUUCAAAGUAAAUCUAAAUUACUUUGUGUUGCCUAUCCUAUUACUUGAUUUUUUUGCUAACUAUGUGUAUGAGUAAAUUUCCAAGAUGAUGCAAAAAAAUCGCUUGCAGAUAGUCUGUAUGUGUACACACAUGCAUGUUGUAUGUUUAUAUUAACUUUGCAAUACUGAUGUUUGUUCAGAUUCUUCUAAGCAGUAUGCUCUAGCAGAACGAUGCUUCCCUUUCCUUACUGUUGUUGCUAAAUAUUUUUUUUAUGUGGCAUAUGAGGACUGAACAGCAUCAGGCCAACGAUCUCACCCUGGGAGUCCACUUCUUUACGGUCAUGACAUCUGCCUUGACAAAUUAUCUGGAGUUGAGCUCCAGAGACGAAUGGGGAGGUGGACUUUGCUGGAGUUAUCAUGUGUUCUUGCAAUCAGAACGCAUGGGGAUUAUAAGCCAAUAUACGAUUUGUUCAUUUUCUUUUAGAGGGAAAGCCAUGGUAUUCGGAUGGCGGAAGCAGUUCUGAUAUUUGAUAUAGAUUUAAAGGACCAGGAGAACCUAAGUGGCUCAUUCCUAUACCAACAUUCCGAUAUAUACGGGGCAGUUCUUAAACGUGCAAAUGUUCAAGCCAUUAAAACACCCUCUUAGGAAAAACAUUGUAUUUUCACACUUAUGGAAAAUGAACUUUAAAUCACGAAAAAUGUUGAUUUUUUUACAAGAGAUCUUGAGGGUGAGAUAAUUUUCAGCAAAUUCAGAGGAAUAGCUUAAGUACCAGGGCGACACAUGUGGUAAUUAGCAUAACAUGGAUGUUGCAUUAAUUUUCUUAUUUAAACAGUACAAUUUGUGUAGUUAAGUCAUUCAUUAUAAAGAAAUGAGUUCUAUCAUUUGUCAUGCCAUGGAAGUAUGGUUUGAAGUUUCCUUACUGUAAAGAUUUUUCUUCAACAUCUACAAGCUGGCUAGCAAAAUUAUUGCAACUACAGUUCACAUCAGGUAUAAGGCGACAUGUAGGGCCAUCAUCUAUGUCCAUACAUCUUAAUCUCAUUUUCGCUGACGGUUGCUUUGCUAUCUUAGUCAUUGAUUAUUACUGAAUGUAGAAACCACAUGGAGCUUGUGCCGUUUUCUUCUUUCUGUUACUAUAUAUAUGUUCGGAGCAAUGUAAGGUUUCUUUUUGUGAAGUUCAUCGUGCUUAUGGUACAAUAUUUAGCCAUACAAUUUCUAUUAGAAACCAUCAUCCUGUAUGCCUUUUCUUUCACUACUUUUUGUACAGCAAACCAAUGGAUCAACUAACCACAAGCUUAGCAUGUGGUAUGCAUAAAUAUCUAGCUUAGUACUCCCUCUGCAAAUAAAUAUAAGUAGUGAUCUAAACGCUCUUAUAUUUCUUUACGCCGGUAGUAGAAAACAUGCUUAGUACAACGCCUUCUAACCAUGCAGUAGCAGUUCCCACCCAAUGCUACUGUUUUGUACACAGACGAGAAGUUUGUUUGAGAAAGAGGAGCAUGCUUCCUGCCUUUCAUCCAAUAUUAUAUAUUUCUAUUUCCUAUGUGGAACUAACAGUUCAUGUCUCUAGCUUCUACUACUUUAUCGUUUUAGACAAAAGCUUUUGUAACCAUGAUGCUGAUAUACUUGUGAUACGUACUUCAUGUGCUACCACAUUAAUAGGGUGAUUUAAAUAAAAGUACCUGAAUUUAUAUUCUUCCACAUUCCGCCAAUAUUCAGUAACAAAGUUCUAUUUUUGUUUACAAACCAGUACAUUGGUCGCAAGGAAAAAAAUCUACUUGCUGUCGGGAACCAAAGCAACAACAGAUCAAGUUACUUGGUCGGAAGAAAUUGUCAAGGGUCGCAGCUUACGCAUGAUUGGAAGUGGCGAUCUUAGUCUAUCUCACCUAAGUUACAUGAUAUAAAAAAUUAGUAAAGAUGUAGAACAACCUAGAAUUUUGCGUCUCAACUAUGUGUCAUAUUUUCUUAUUAUCAUAUACUUUUUUUGAGACGGUCUUACUAUUAUACUUUGUAAUGCUUAUAAUUCACGAGUGAUAGAUUCUGAGAUGUACUACCGAUGUGACCAAGGAUGUCCAGUUUUACUUGAUAUUGAGUACUGGAACUUAAAA